ensembl:lncRNA
CCCAAGACCGCAGGACAAACCCUGUAGGAUCCACUUCCAGGAGGUCCCUCGAGGAGCCAAACGCAGAGAGACAGAAAAUAGAAGGUGAGGGCCCGGCGCUGGAGGAGGGGCCUGAGCGACUAGUGGGAACAGAGGGUCAAGCUGGGAAGGCGACAGCGUCCUGGAGAUGGGCGUGCCGAUGCUUGCCGCGAUGGAUAACUCAGCAAAAGGCAAGCACCCAUGCCCAUGGGCACUUCUGGUGGGAGACCUCCCGACCCUGAGACCCAGCGGACGGAGGCCUUGAGUGACCCUGGACACAGUCAUUAAGAAGGCGGAGGGGCUACUGAGUGCCAGCCCCAGGGACAUGGGGCGUCUCUGGAGGAGCUAGUGGUAGAGAGAAGUGACCCCUCCUCCCAGCACAGGGUCGGGAAUAAGACCCAUCCCCACGAGAACCAGCUCUGAAGACAGCGGCCAGAGGAAGCCGGAAAGGCAAACGGAGCCGGGACGCUUGCCUCCCAGCUUGGAGCUGCCCCUGCUCCAAACCGAG